UUAUGUUCCGGGGUUCUGGCUGCAUGGUGGGAGUUCCUGUGCACCCUUAUUACCUUUUACCACCAGAUGGCGACAGGUUCCGGCUGGAGUGCGGUGCAUUAUUAUCCGCAGCUGUUCGUGAUCAUCCUCAUCAGCGGCGCAGACUUAAGGAGUUGGCCGCCAGUCCAGCGUCGCCUGAGUGUUAGCCAGUCACGGUGAUCCUUUGAUGAGAUCCCGGUUGAAUUCCUGGCUUUUGAACCAUCCUCGUGACGCCGUGGAAAGUAUCCACAGGUUGCCCGAGUUCCCAGACUUACCUCUCCGUUGUUUUGGCAAUUAUCUCCUGGACCCCACGGCUGGCGGCCGUACCACUCCUCCGUCUCCCCGCUGCUCUCGUGCCUACCUGUCCGCUGCCCACCGCACUCCUCCGUUGUUCCUGGACCCACCAAGAACCGAGACCCCGGACAUACUCGGUUUCCCCUCCAAGACUCUGUUCAUCAGCAACAAUGAACCAUUGUUGCCGUCCCUGUUUUUGCCCCUGGACCAGACCAUCCUGAUUCUCACUGAUAAUUGUGUGAUCUUUAUUAAAUCAUUUAACACUGA